AUUGAACGCUGGCGGCAGGCCUAACACAUGCAAGUCGAGCGGUAGAGAGGUGCUUGCAUCUCUUGAGAGCGGCGGACGGGUGAGUAAUGCCUAGGAAUCUGCCUAGUGGUGGGGGAUAACGUUCGGAAACGGACGCUAAUACCGCAUACGUCCUACGGGAGAAAGCGGGGGAUCUUCGGACCUCGCGCCAUUAGAUGAGCCUAGGUCGGAUUAGCUAGUUGGUGAGGUAAUGGCUCACCAAGGCGACGAUCCGUAACUGGUCUGAGAGGAUGAUCAGUCACACUGGAACUGAGACACGGUCCAGACUCCUACGGGAGGCAGCAGUGGGGAAUAUUGGACAAUGGGCGAAAGACCUGAUCCACGCCAUGCCGCGUGUGUGAAGAAGGUACUUCGGAGUU
rnacentral:rRNA from 1 species